ACGAACUCUGGUAUUGAUUGGUGCUUGCAUCAUGAUUUACAUUUGAGUGAGUGGCGAACUGGUGAGUAACACGUGGGAAACCUGCCCAGAAGCGGGGGAUAACACCUGGAAACAGAUGCUAAUACCGCAUAACAACUUGGACCGCAUGGUCCGAGCUUGAAAGAUGGCUUCGGCUAUCACUUUUGGAUGGUCCCGCGGCGUAUUAGCUAGAUGGUGGGGUAACGGCUCACCAUGGCAAUGAUACGUAGCCGACCUGAGAGGGUAAUCGGCCACAUUGGGACUGAGACACGGCCCAAACUCCUACGGGAGGCAGCAGUAGGGAAUCUUCCACAAUGGACGAAAGUCUGAUGGAGCAACGCCGCGUGAGUGAAGAAGGGUUUCGGCUCGUAAAACUCUGUUGUUAAAGAAGAACAUAUCUGAGAGUAACUGUUCAGGUAUUGACGGUAUUUAACCAGAAAGCCACGGCUAACUACGUGCCAGCAGCCGCGGUAAUACGUAGGUGGCAAGCGUUGUCCGGAUUUAUUGGGCGUAAAGCGAGCGCAGGCGGUUUUUUAAGUCUGAUGUGAAAGCCUUCGGCUCAACCGAAGAAGUGCAUCGGAAACUGGGAAACUUGAGUGCAGAAGAGGACAGUGGAACUCCAUGUGUAGCGGUGAAAUGCGUAGAUAUAUGGAAGAACACCAGUGGCGAAGGCGGCUGUCUGGUCUGUAACUGACGCUGAGGCUCGAAAGUAUGGGUAGCAAACAGGAUUAGAUACCCUGGUAGUCCAUACCGUAAACGAUGAAUGCUAAGUGUUGGAGGGUUUCCGCCCUUCAGUGCUGCAGCUAACGCAUUAAGCAUUCCGCCUGGGGAGUACGGCCGCAAGGCUGAAACUCAAAGGAAUUGACGGGGGCCCGCACAAGCGGUGGAGCAUGUGGUUUAAUUCGAAGCUACGCGAAGAACCUUACCAGGUCUUGACAUACUAUGCAAAUCUAAGAGAUUAGACGUUCCCUUCGGGGACAUGGAUACAGGUGGUGCAUGGUUGUCGUCAGCUCGUGUCGUGAGAUGUUGGGUUAAGUCCCGCAACGAGCGCAACCCUUAUUAUCAGUUGCCAGCAUUAAGUUGGGCACUCUGGUGAGACUGCCGGUGACAAACCGGAGGAAGGUGGGGAUGACGUCAAAUCAUCAUGCCCCUUAUGACCUGGGCUACACACGUGCUACAAUGGAUGGUACAACGAGUUGCGAACUCGCGAGAGUAAGCUAAUCUCUUAAAGCCAUUCUCAGUUCGGAUUGUAGGCUGCAACUCGCCUACAUGAAGUCGGAAUCGCUAGUAAUCGCGGAUCAGCAUGCCGCGGUGAAUACGUUCCCGGGCCUUGUACACACCGCCCGUCACACCAUGAGAGUUUGUAACACCCAAAGUCGGUGGGGUAACCUUUUAGGA
rnacentral:rRNA from 2 species